GAGGAAUCGCCUUACAAGCAAGCCUAAACAGGUUAUCUCUCUGCUUACUAGAGUUCAAAAGAAUGAGAGAUGAAACAUAAAGGAUUCUUAAGUGGCUUGACAAGACAAAAGAGGACAGCUUCUAGCAAAUAGAGAAAAAUCAAAGAAGUUACUGCUGAAGAAGAGAAGAGGGAAUUGUUUUUAUUUAAUACUAAACGAGAUGCUGUUUUGAGAUUUUGAUUUAAGUUCAUAAAAACAGAAUUAGAAGAAGUGGGCUCUUGAAAGUUGAAGGAGUAAAGAAUCACUAAUGUGUGCCUUGCUGGCAAUAAGCAUAUCAGUGAAAAUUGAUGGCAAGUGGAAUGGAAGAAUUUAAAAAUGUACAAUUACAGAAAUGAGCGUCUGUGGAAUUUCUGCCAGAAUAACUGACAGUAAAUCUGAAACUGCCACUCAAAGAAGGACUCACGUUGACUGCAUGUGGACAAUUUUAAAAAUGUUUGUUAGCAUAUAUUUCAGUGCAAAAAUAUCAAUAGAUUUAAUUAAUGAAUAAUACAGGUAACAGUGAAAU